UCAGUUAUUACCUAAAACAACAGCAUUACGAUUGCCUUCCACUGCAUCAUGCCAGGCACUUUCCAUGCACAACGACAAAGAACCAGGAAAUACAACAAAGUCAUGGAAUGACCAGAACACAACAAGAGCUUGAUCAAAGCAGCAUAGAGACUGGGUUGUUCAAGUUCAGAACCCGGAAGAAUGACCACACCAUCUCAGAGACCGGCUGCAGGAGACUGACCACUCCACCUCAGAGAUUAGGUUGAGUCUAUCACCACAGGAGAAAUCUUUAUCUUUGUUCUUCCAAAUGUUGGAAGCUCACUGUUGGACAGUGGAAUCAUUUUCAAAAUUUUCAGAUCCAGCAUCUCCAAUAAGUAGCAGACAGUCGUGCCAAGCUCAAGUCAUCCAGAGAGACAUUGUUUUUUAAUCAUUUUAAACAUCGAGCUGUUGGGAUUGUUGAAGAGCGAGGCUGCAUUUGAAGAGUGAUCAAUGUACCCAUGUUGGAGUCACAGCGUGUCUGUUCAUCCCUGACAGGUGUGGUCUGCAGUGUCCAGCUGACUCAGUCGAACUCUCAAAUCAUGAAACCAGGCGAGGCUACAAAACUGUCCUCCACGUUGUCAGGAUACACAAUUACUGACAGCAGUUACGGGACAUAGUGGAUCCUCCAGCCCUAGGGGAAGGGACUGGAGUGGCUUAGAUGGAUCUGGGAAAAUGAUAUCAAGCACGUGCCCUCUGUCCAGGGCAGGUUCACCAUCUCUAAGACAGACUCCACUAACACCAUGUACCUACAAAUGAAUAGCCUGCAGACAGAUGACACUGCCUUGUAUUAUUGUGCAAGGUCACCACACUGAGGAAGUUCCCGGGUAUACCACUGCAAAAAACAUCAGCAACAUUCAAGAAACAUUCCUAUUCCAAAAGGAGACAUACAUAUUUAAUAGGGCUGGU